UAUGAGGAAGAGGAGCUGGCUCAGAGAAGUGAUCCUCCCUAAAUCAAAAAGACUGGUGAAAGCAACAGGGGAAAUGGAGACUACAGGCUUUCCCCCCUCCUUUCUGAUUUUGAGAUAUUUAUGAGACGGCAAAAAGCUCUUUGUAUCAACUCAUAAUUUCAAAUGGUUCUCACAUAAUUUUGGUCCAGGCAGAAAUCCUGCUACUCCCUCUGUGAUACGAGAGGAGUCCCAAAGCAUAAUCUUGAGUGCAGUCUCACGGACAUUGCUUUUGACAUCAUCAUCAAAAUCCUGGACUGUUUCUAAGAGUUUUUGCCACUGUGGUGCACAGAAGUGAGAAGGAAACAAAAUACAGAGGCAAUGCCCACCAAAUCUUGGUGGUUGAGGAACUGCUGAACACCUUGAUGGACAGGACUGGGAUACAGAAGAGCUUCUUCAACAGGAUGUGACUGGUUUGACUGAAUAUGAGAGCAGAGGUUUCCCCAGGACCUUCAGACAAGAGCCUCAAGGACAGUGGUGGCAUCAAAGGGCACCUGACAUUUUCUGGGACUUGGACAUCCAUGGCUCAUUAUGAAGAACAGAAUAUGGAGUAGAAGGUCCUUUACUGAGAAAUCCCUGGCUCUGCAUCCAUAAAUAAAUCACCCUUUAUGAAACUUGCUCACAUCUGUGCUGUCUCAAGCACGGGCAGAGGGAAGCUGUCAGCCUGGGCACAGAUCUUCACUGGCACAGAAGGAAUAGUCUGGAAGGAAGAGAAUGACACAUAUCAUGCCUCUACUUUGUGCAGCAAUCUCGAUAUUUUAUGUUGUGUAAUGACUGGGAAAAAAAGGAAAGAAAAAAAAUAAAAGCAGGGAUCACCUACACAAAAAGCAUCCCCGGUCUGGUCUGGUGUUGAUGUUAAUGAAGCUCCAAGAAGAAGGAGGCUGGCCUAGAAACCUCCAGAGGUCCUUCUCAAAUGUUUUUUCUAUGAUCUUACAGUUCUGGGUUUUCUUGAAGCAGAUAUUGCUUUGGUGCACUGAAUUGAACAAAACAAGACAAAAUGAAACGAAUAGUGCUCAGCACCAGGUACUCAGUUCUUGGUAGGAGCCACUUGGCAAUUUUACAGAUGCUGAGAGUCUCAACCUUCAACCUGUAAGGUGUUUCCUGUAAUAUGAGAAUUUAUCAGCCGGCUUUCAGAGCCACAUAGUCAUUGUUAUUCCAGGCCAAAGCUUAAACACAAAAUCAGAGCUGCGAGGACUUAGCAUGAGCUUCCAGAGGUCAAAUCCUGCAGCCUUUAGCCAGGCAAACUAAACCUUCGACUUGGUAGGAUUUUGUCUACACCAGGACUGCGGCGUUUGCAGAACACGAGUCAAGCACAAGUCAGGCUCCUGCAGAAGGGAAGGCAGUGAAGGAUAUUUCUACCCAUCUUUCCAGCCCUGAGUGUGAUGGAGAGUGACAUCAAACAAGAGCUGCCCAUCUCAGCUGUCAAGGGCCUCGCCAGAAAUGAAAAGUUCAAUCUCAGGGUACCAAGGAUCUCAGGGUACCGAGGAUCUCAACCUUAUCCAACACAGCAUCCUUCAGUGUGGAGCUGCAGGAAUCCAGGGGAAAUGCAUGCACAGAGAACUGUGUCAUCCCGUUUUCCAAGGAGCUAAAGUUCACUCCAACAUGUGUUACAUGGGAGGCACGUCUUUGGGGGAAAAGACACGGUGAUGGGAGGUAUCAGGAAUGGUGAAGCACUUGCAGCUAUUUUUUUUAUCCCAUCUGCACCCAAAUACUUCUGUGCCUUGCAAAGGGGGGGUCAGGUGUUGAAGCACUCCCCUGGAUGGUUUUUAUAUCACACAGAUCCACCGCUGUGUUUCUAAUAAAGCCAUCAAGAGCACAACCGGGAGCUCCCUGCGUGAUCUUAAGCAAUAUAAGUCACUGCUUCAGAGGACUCUCUUAACUUGGGGCUGGAUGCACUCAAAAAAUCUUCCAAGUUAUUCUCUCCUAAUUCAAGUCAGCUGAGGCAUCAAAAUGUCGGGCAGAUGGACAAGAUCCCUCGGCUGCAGCCAGCCUGUUUUCUGCUGUUACUCUUGUGGCACUCAAAAAUUAGAGACUUUUAUUAUGAGGAAACUGAGACACUGUGAAAUUAAAAGCUUUGGGAAAUUAGUGCGCAGUAAAUUACGGUGUGAAUUUACUGUGUACCAACCACCCUGCACGAACUCAUCAUGUGGACUGGCAAAGAAAAAGGAUUAAACUCCCUUAAAUUAUCUCACAUUUGCCAUGGACAGGCAGUUGCCAUGGAUCAGGUGACACGUAGCAACUUCUCAACCCGCAGCGAAUCUGCCAUCGGUGAGGAACCAUUCACGGGGGCUUUGCUGCUCAUCUGCUCCAACUUUAGGCUGUGGAUAAUGCGGGAUAACAGAGAGAGAGAAAAAGUGGUGGGCAUCAUCUGAAGCAAUCUACUGUGUCCCUUCAUGGCAUGCCUCCUCUGAAUGAAUCAGGAGGUCGUGGUGACUCUUGUAGAGAUGGUCACUGCUGGAGCUGGAGGAGAUGAUGGAUUUGAAGGGAAAGUCUGUGGCUGUUUCCAGAAAUGAGCAAGAGGUGCAGCAUGAGCCCUGUGACAAGGACAGCCCAGGCUGCUGUGUGGAUGAGGAGAGGGAAGGUGCUACACACACCAGGGAGGCUGGCAAAGGAGAAAGGCACAGUGGAGUCAAGGAAACCUGAUGUUGUUUUCAGUUUACCAACAUCUCUUUUGAAAACAGACCCAUCUCACUGUAGAAAUGUUCUGGAAACAAACUGAAACAAUUCCUUCUACCCCCAGCAAGAACAAUCAAGUGUCAGAGCUUUAUUUUACAAUUUCCUUGGAUAAUAUUUGGACAUAAAUGAUACCUGGCAAUUGUAUGCUCAUUGACAUUUUAUUUUUAACAUUUCAAUGAUUAAGCCGGACUCAUAGACGUGUAGUUUUUAAUUUUAAGAAAAAGGCUUUCCCAUGACAAUGGAGUGCAUAGUUUCAAGAUGAAAUUCAGCCUAGGAAAGACCUAUGGACUGGCACAAAAAGUGUGAAAUACCACAUGAGCUUUGUUAAUAAGUCAGUAGAGUUGUAAGAAGUCAAUGCAGUACCAGCUGAUACCUGGGAGAAGAAAAGUACAAACCUGUGUCUCUUUGCAGAGCAUUUCCAGCACACCAUCAGCCUGUGAACGACGCUGGCAUGGCAGCCCUGAUAGCGAUGAAGAGACUCCUGGUGUGCAUCAAUCAACCCAGAGAAGAGAGACCAAAAUAGCUGAUUACUGGGUCUGUAAUGUCUUAUCCUCAGAACAAAACCAAAUUUUCAGUUAGCUUUUAGAAUGGCUUGUUUUCCUCAUCCAUCUGCAUGCCCAGCGCAAACCUUCCAGGAAGUGAUCUUUGUUUCAACAGUAGGUAUGUCAGGUACAGGUAUUUUAAGGAGGAGGUAGUUUAAGCCAAGGGCUGCAUAUUUCAAUGCUUUCCUAACCCCCAGUUGAAAACCCAUAUGCCACUAAGUGGUUUAUAACUUGAGAGUCAGCCACCACUAUUUUUUUAAAUGUUCUAUAAUGUUUAUAAUGUCAGCCAGUCCCUGUUGCUAACCUUUUUUUUUUCUUUUACUUUCUUUACUGUUUUUUUUUUUUUGAGGUAACCCUUUUACCUUCUUUUUCCCUGCUCAGACCCAUUAGCAGGAUGUUGUGCAAUAUGGUGCUUGUCAUCUGUUUCAAAGACACAGUGAUGAGAUACAGGUAUGCCAGAUGGAUAAACCUAGUGUGACUAAUUAUUGUGUAUUUGCCUUUAAUUAUUAUCAUUUAUUACCAGAGAAAAGACAAUAGAGGUUCCCAGACUCGGAAGGGAAUGUUGGCAGAAGGGGAUUUUUUGUCUUUUUUGGUUUUUUUUCUUUUUUUUUUUCAAGAGACUGGCACAUCAGCAAGAAAAGUUUUCUUCUUGGAGAGAAAUACUGCAAAACAUCCGAGACAAGAGGAGACAACAUGACCUAGGGAAUACUUUCCUUUCCCUGGCACAUACUUGAGGAUCAGAUCUCUCGCAGGUGCCUGCUGAGGACAGACACUUCACUCAACUCAGAACCAGCAGCCUGGCAUGCUGGAUGAUUUUGAAAGAGUCUAGAAGGUUGACAAUGGUAAGAAACUUUUGGAAAAGUUUAAUGCUCUGGUCCCAAAAGCUGCUUUCAGGUUACAGCUGAAUCAGCUGCCAUUUACAAGUGCAGAGUGGGUUUAUGAUGGCUCAUAAGCCUGAUCUUGCUUAUGGGGCACUGCACUUUAAUUUGAGAGCAGCCACACUGAUUUGGUAAACAGAUUGAGGAAGAGCUUCUGACUCCAGGCUUUAAAAUUCAUGAGGAUCUGAUUUAGUACGUUUUACACUGGUAUUUUAACAUAUUUGCUCUAUGGCUAAAUUGCAGUGUAACCUAAAGGACCAGUCAUAUACGACAAUCUACCAUAGAUAAUACAAGAUAUAAUCAAUGUCACCAGGCUGCUGAGCUAUUUCUAUAUUUAGUAUUUGUCAGACAAAUACAUGCAAAGGCAUUAAAACAACAAAGUCCGUACAUGGAUGAUUUGUGAACAGGAGAAAAGGCUAAAUUUGCCACUGUUUGCUCUGAAUAGCUCACCCAGAUUACAGGCCAAUUUUGUUUUGGACAGAAAUAUUUUCCAUCACAGGGUCUGCUGAAGUCAAGAGAGUACUAUUCCUUUGGCCACAGGAUGGGCUGAAGGGCUAGGCUGUAUUUUGGGAUUGGCAGCUCUGACCAUCUCCCUUUAACCCAUUUGAACACAAUUUGAUUGGGAUUUUACUGAGCACUUAAUAGUCUGUGAUUGCCUUGAUUGUGGACUUCUACUUUUAAACCAAAUGCAAUGUCAUUAUUAUAUAUCAAGAAAGAACGGUCCCUGAUAACCAAAAAAAUAUUACAUUAAAUUGGCAUGCUGAGAAUUAAAUAUGCAGAUUCAGCCUAAUGAAAUAUCUUGCCUUUGGUUGCAAGAGCCUUCAUCAUUCUUAAGAAGAUUUAAUGCUAAUCUGACUUGGAGCUGUUUCAGUCCAAUUAUUUUUUCACAAAUUUUUGAGCUUUAUUUUUUCUUUUCAGCAGCAUUAUUCUGUCUUGACAGUUUUUAUUUUGUUAUUUUUGUGGAUAUUGAGUAAAUGGGAAACCAAUUCAGAACCAUUCUUAAGUAGAAAUGAAAUGCCCUGUAAUCCAAUUUUGAUCAAAAUUCAUCUUCGCUUUUCGGGGACCGAGCAGCCUGUGCAGUUAUCUCUGCACUGCACAAGUUGAUAAUAAAGCAAAGCAAAGCUCGCAUUCUUUUCCCUUUGCACGUGGUGGGAACUGGGCAUUGUUCAGCUGGAGAACAAUGUGCUGCUCCCCCAGCAUGUGGCAAAGCAGCAGAAUGGCAAGAAGAAGAUUUCUCCCUGGGCUUCUACUUCUGUUUCUCUAAUGUCUGAAGUAAACCUUUCUUCCCACCUGUGGGUGGGUGCUUCUCUUCCCUGGAAACCUCCCUGUCUCCCUCCCCUGAUGUCCUGUGAUUGCAGAAGAUAGCUCAGUGCUGCAGCACCUUUCCCAAAAACACUCCUGGGGAGCAGAGACACGUUCAGCUCUGGUCACAGACCUGGAUUACAGCUCCUCUGCCUUCCACUUCAGUGGCCAUUGCCUUUUGCUUAUGCACAGAUACAAAAGCCAAGACACAGCACAAAAAUACAAUCCCUGUCCAAGCAGUGACUGGACAAAGAGGCCUCGUAUGUCUUACAUGGUGCAGGGAGGGAUCCCAUACAACACAGGAUUUUGCUUUAUGUUUGCUUCAAUGGCUCCAGCUGAGUUCUUAACUGCCUUUUAUUCCACUUUGCCUGGCAGAAGCAAUACCUCAAGGAAGGCUUUUCUGGUGCAACAUCAGCAAAAAUUGGUGGCUUAGGAAUUGCUGUUUGCAGUCAAGCAGAGCUGCUCCAUUCCUCCUAAAAAUGCUCUUAUUCCUUCCUACCACUUAUUUCUUCACUAGCUCCUCCUGUCCACAGCCAAACUUUUUCAAUGUUCAUAUAACCUUCCAUGUUCUAAUGCAAUAGGCUUUCUUCUAGGAUGAGACAGAACAUUGAAUAGCAACAAGUUUUCAGGCAUCCAUCCACAGAUGCUUCUAAGUCCACAGGAUCUUGUGAUAGGUCAUAAAGGAGGGAUACAUUAUUAAAUAAUCAUCACAACAUUGUCAUCGCCUGCCACCUGUCCCCAGAAGGAAAAUUUAGGAGAGGUAACAUGUCAGUAUGAGAGAUGAUUAAAUGUAAGUCUCUGGUACCCUACCAAGACACAUAGCAAAUGCCUUCUUUUCCUUUGUAGCAGGAAGCUCAUUACUAAAGGAUAAUCUGUUUUUAAAGAGAUUGAGUUGUCUUUCCAAGGCAUCUUUAUGUUCAGCUACCCUUUAUUAGUUACUUUCAUGUUUGUGUCUACUCAUCACAUCUUGUAGUUUCUUGCUGCUUCACUCUUUCUAUUUGCUGGCCAUGUAACCUUAGACCAUUCCCUUUCUUUCUUCUUUCUUUCUCUUCAAAAAUCUGCCUGCUGGUAUUUUCCAUGAAUUCAUCUGCAUUAAAUUAUUUAUAGAUACAAUGAAGUCUGCUUUUGUCUAAUGUUUAUUUUCUUUAAUAACAAGAAACAUGGAGAAAAUGUUCCAAAGAACCGAAAAAGGACUUGAGUUUUCCUGGACGCUAGGCAACAGUAGCCAAAAAGUACAAAACAAGAUGUAGGAUGUUCAUAAGAUGCAUCUAAAAAUAAUAAUCUUAGUACUUUGGUAUCUAAUAUGUUCUUUCAAUAUGUUAUAUUUCCCAAAUGUGAGCCUUGGUUUUAAUGCUGUCAUGACACUCUGAAGGUUUUAAUGGACAAUGAGUCACUAUGGAGGAAACCAGGAGCAAUAAGUAGAUGGAUUACUGCUGGUGCAGCCAGACCUCUGCUACCUGUUUUCCUUGUCCUAAGUGUUUUGAAUAGGUCAUGGAGGUCUCUUAUGAUGGUCAUUUUCCCAACCAGAGAGUUUGUCUUGUACCUGGUGAAAAUUAGAACAAACAAUAUAUCUUGCUAAAUGAGUCACUGCUAGUCCUUUGUUACCUUUUACUGUUUGUUUGAAUUUACUUUCCAUCAUGAUUUAAAGGCUUUUCCCAUCUCCUUUUCCAGUGGAGGGUUUAUGCUUCUCAUUGCUUCUUUCUUCCCUUCAAUUAUGUGAGCCAUGCAAGCAUUUCCCCUUGAACACUUUCCAGCUCCCCCACCCCGUACCUCCCCCAGUGCAUGUCCUCCCCCUCGUUUACACAGCUCCCUUCUCCACUGUGUUUCCUGCACUGCCUACACUAAUUGCACUUAGCCUGGAUGUGGUGGGGGAGGGAGGCUGGAAAGGGAGAAAUAAAAAGAGGACUUCUGAGGAAUCUGUGUGAGUUUCUACCUGGAGGGUCUUCUGCACAUGGAAAAAAUGGAAGACAUAAAAUAGGCAACAGAAGGAAGAGGAGAGAGGAACAGAUUCAAGUCCAGGUCCAGAGUGACCGGAGACAAGCUCAAGGUAGGAGCAUGUUGGUUCUCACCCUUUUAGAGGGAGCAAGGCAGCAAUUGGAAGCUGCACAGAUGAGAGCCCAGGAGAUCCAGUCCCUGCUCUCCACAGCACCCAUGUGAUGCAAAAUUCAGAGGGUAAGGCUUGUGGAGCCCUCCCUGCCACCUCUCCUGGCAAAAGGUUGUUCAGCAUGUGAGAGAGGUUGCUUUGUUUUUUACUCAUUGUUCCAUACCCCUUGACCACUCACUCUACUGCAAUUGCUUGUCUAAAACACUUCUCACUGCCCUUGUCCCCACUCCCAUUCCAAAACCACAGGAACAAGGAUGCUGACACCACAGAAGCAACGAGCUGCACGUUGGGGCCAUUCCUACAGGCUGGGGAUGAAAUCUGCCUGGAGAACAUGCAAAAUUCAGUCCCUGCUCUCCUCACAGUGGGAUGUGGAUGUAAACGUCGUCUCUUUCUCAGAGCAGCUUUUGAGAGUGAGUAUUUGUCUCAGAAAGAACAAACACACACCAUCAAACAGCAACGCAACUGACAAACAAGCCCUCAGAGACCAGCAGCUCCCAAAAAUCAGCGCUCAGUACUCUCUGAAACUUCACUCAUUUAGAUUCAAAGGUACCUGGACACAGAAUACUUGAGCUAGAGAAACUGCACAUCUGUGGCAUGUGUUUAUUUAUUUAUUUACCUGUUUUCCAAUCUUGUACCUGCCUACUUUAGCUGAUCUCUAGCUAUCAAAUUGUGAUGGAGCAAAAGUAAUAAAAUGCCUGUAGGAUAGAAAAACCCUGCCUGAAGUUCUCCCAUAGCUCAACCAGACCUAGAAGAUGCACAAUUCAAUUAAAAGAAAUAUAAAGUUUUUCUCUCCUCACCUUGCCAUUUUCCCCUUCUCUUCUGUGCAUUUCAUACAUCCAUAUAUAUAUAUAUAUAUAUAUAUAUAUAUAUAUAUAUAAAUAAAUACACACAUACACACACACACAUACGCACACACGCACAAAGCCACCCCUCCCCUUCCCAAUCCUUCCUUUAAGGUUUAAUUUAACAAUAACAUUUGCGAUCGGGGUCCUGAGCAUCUCAAGGGCAUUGCGCUUGAAAUUGCACACACUCCGCACCAUUUAUCAUAGCCUGACAUGUGUCAUGUUCCAGACUGCAGCUCCAAGAGGUUACAGCUCACGACUGCUCCUUUGUUGAUCAGCUGCCGAGACAACUGAGGCACCUUUCUUUCUUUUUUUCUUCCUUUCCUUCUCUCAUUUUUUUUUUAUUAUUAAAGCUGCACCGUCCUCUUUUCAUAGGGUUCAUUCUGACACAAUGGAAAAAGAAAACAAAUCCUUCUCUGCCCUGUGCAGUUCCCUCACCAGAUCUUCAUCAACCCAAAUUCUGAUCACAUUUUAUUUGGGUUCAAUAACAAAGCUUUGGCUGGUUAAUAUUACUGCUUAAUACUGGAUGUAAGAGGGAUAAACUGUUUUCAAGGUAGUUCUGUGCCUGAGGAGAAGAACAUGGUGUGUAACUGCUAAGGAUAUUGGGGACAGUGCUAAGGCAGUCCCAAAGUGCUUUCCUGUGGCAGCAUCCAGAGUUGCCAGGCCAGUGAAUUCCUUCCAUUGCUAAACUCCAGUCUUGCAACUUCAGGGAAAUUAAUUUUUUCUUCUCAGGAGUUUCUAUUUCAUUUACUCCACCUCUCCUCCUUCACUUCCUUGGUGCCUUGCACAUUUCUUGCUGCCUGCAGAGCACCUGAGACCUGUGUGUAUCUUUGCAGGAAUGAUGCAUACAGCAAUUCAGCAAACCAGGCUGUUUAUAAACAAGAGCCACUGAAUUGCAUUCAUAAAUCACUUGUAGAUCCUACUUUUGCCAGUCUUCAUCCUGCCAAUCAACAUUUGUAUAGAGUAUGGGUCUGGAUGUCACUGUAACUUAAUGUGUAAAGGAUGCGAGGUACUACUGAUAGCAAGGAAUGGGGUCUGAACACUGGUCUAAGAUCUGAGCAAAAGCAGACUUUGUAUUGUUCUGCAUUCUCAAGAAUGUCAGCAUAUCAGGUGAGCUACAAAUUUCCUUUUAAACUAUUUAUAAUGAAAAGUUCUUGAAGGCAGGAAAUGCUGAACUGGAGCCGAUUUCUCCAUUUCCUCUCCCUAUUUUCAUGUUCUGCUCUGUCCUGGAAGACCUCAAGCCUGAAGGUUCAGAUCCCAAAGUCUGUCAGUGUUUUGGAAUGAUACUUGAUCUUUCAGAUUCCUAUUCCCCUCUGAGCUCUAAAUCACGCAAUGUUCAUCACCACCUGUUAGCAUCAAGCACAGCCUCUGCCGACACAGUUGGAGUUGUCUUACUUUCUCUCACACUCUCAGCUCUUGUCGAUGGAUAUUUUUGGAGGUUUCCUCGGUUUAGAGGCACUUGAUUAAUCAGUAGUGCCAGAUGGGAAGGCUCAACUACUACCACCAUGUGUGUGUGUGUCACACGCCCAUUAGAUUCACUAACAGAGGGUUUACUUGCCAUUGGCCAGCAAGAUUUUGCACUUUAUCCCUCACUGUAUGUUUUUUGCCCAUGUCAGACCUCUUUGCCUUCCACUUUAUCACUCUCCCCUCUAGAAGUCUGAUCUGAACAGCACUUUGCUGCCUGAAGGAUGUCUUGUUUCCUCCCUGUUUCUCAAGGAGAGAAAAGCCCAGUUUUGUGUCUGUAGCUGGGUAGUCCCACAUUCACAGCAUCGUCUCCGAGCUGCUCCGGGGCUCAGCAUGGAGCCGGCUCCCCACUGCCCGUGAUGCAUUUCCCCCUUGCAUUUGUGCUCGUGCUGCUGACCUUGACUUGUGUUUGAUCCCUGCCUUCCCCCUUUGCCAGCGUCAAGGCCCCUGCCCAGCCCUGCAGGGAUGAUGUAGUGCCACCAGCUGGGAUGGCGUAAAGCAGCGCCGGGGCUCGGCCAGCUUCCAGUCACAUCCCUCUGCCUGUCCUGGGGAGAGCCACCACCUGCACAGUCCCACCUUCCCCCACACUGAAAGGCGACAGUUCAGCAAAAACAGGGCAAGGCACACGGCACAGAGAGGUAUAAGGCAGAGAGCACCAUAAAUGCUGCUUCUCCAUCGCUUUGCCACCCUAAAAAAACACUUGUCUGUGUGUGCCUGACACUGGCACUGCUCCUCUGCCCCCAAGCAGCAAGGAAGCUGCUUGACUACCCAGUUUUAAAGGAGUAUGAUGUCUCCCUAAAACUCUUAGGGAGGCUUACUGAGGAUAUUUAAGAGGGCUGGAGUUCUGUUAUUUAUGGAGGGGCUGUGCCCACGGUGUGCCUGUGCCUGUCUCUCUUUUUAGGACACUUGUUCCCAUGAAAGCUGCUGUGGUGUUUAAUUCCUCACUCCAGACCACACAGGAGGCCAGUUUAGCCCCCAGCAGUUUUAAAUGAAAGAUGAAUAAUUUUAAGGGUAUUUUGUGGAUUUAUAAGGAGGAAGUAAGGACUCUAGAGAAAGGAGGAAAAAAAUAACAGUCUGUGGCAAAAAUAUUAAAAAUAACUAAAAGCCCACUAAAAAUAAAACCCCCCCUCAGCUCUUCCUCUCCAACCAUGGAUAUUGUCAUUGUAAUACUGCUCAGAAAUGUGGUCCCUUUGGGCUGGGAGUGCAAGUAAUACAACAAUACUCUGAGUGCAAUAGAAAAGCAAUGAGGAAAGCAGCACACACAGUAAUCAGGUGAGCAGACAGGGCUUCAGCUGAGACCAUCCUCUGAAUAUUUCAACCAUGGCGUAGACCUAAGACUGGAUUCAGAACUGGCUCAACAUCCUGGUCUCCCUGUGGAAGGAAAUAUGGCUACAGCAUCCUCUAUUUAUUGGGAUGGCAUUGGGGGAUGCUGGAAAUUAAUUGGCUCCUCGGAUAUGAGGAAAGUAACCUUGGGUCUCUCUGCUAAAAAGAAAAGGAGAGAACCACCAAACCAGCAACAUAUAAAUAAUAGGAGAACCAAUAAUGACUUAAAAAAAGUAUUUAAAUGCAAUCAGGCAGAGUGGAGGAAAGAAUAAUGACAUGUGUACAGUAGACACAAUGUAGAUUACAAUUUAUAACAGGAUACAGGAUGGAGCCAGCACUUGAUUAGGGGACCAUGUUACAAAUUUUUCAGCAUAUGUCCUCUGUUUUUCUUUGCCUUGGCAUAGAAGGCUGGGCACUGCUGGUAAGUAAAUCAGAUCGUCAGAAAAUGCCCACGUUGAUGAGAAUUGCAGGAUCCAAGGAAAUUAACUUGACUUGUAUUUUAGACAAUUCUGCCAUAUCCAUUCCUUGCCCAGAGCUGUCAACUGAGAAAGAGUUGUGCCUGCUUACAGCUUUAAUCAGAGAUAAAAAUUACCCCUAGUUCAUGAAUAUGUUUAUCAUGGAGAUAAGUCAAUGGCAGAGAAUAGAUUCUCAGCACACAACUCUUCAUGUCUUGCACUAAAAUAUGUCAUAUACUGAUGUGUUUUGCUCUACAAAUAGCACCCUCAUACUCCACUCAUUGUCCAGACACAGACAGAGCCUGGGCAGGGAAAAGUCUUUCAGAAGGAAGCACAAGGAGCUUUUGCUGAUGAGCUUGGAGGGCCUUGAAGCUCCUUGGGUGUCUGCUUGCUGUGGCUUGGCCACCAUCUAUGAACCCUUCACCUGACUGCCAGGGGAGAGGUGAAGAGGGAAAUUAUCAUUUGGUCUGACCACAAAGGCUGUUGUGGCUCCUUUGAUCACCUUCUGUGUCUUGAGGCUCCGUCUCCCUCCUGGAUGUGUUCCCAGCUGCUCUUGUCUGGACCCAACACUUCAGGCAUGGCUCUUGACCAUUAAUACCAGUAAGUCAUGCUCUGUGGUGGGGUGGGGGGAAGCUGGGAUGUGCUAUUUCUUGUGGGUAGUCAGACUAUGAUAAAAAGUAACCUGUAUUCAUGAAUAGAGUAAUUUUUUUCCACUUUUAAAUGUCUUUUUUCUUCCCAGUCUGGUAACAUCACAUCCCUCAGAGUACCCUAAAUUAAAGAAAGCAAUACCAGAACAGCAACAAAAGCAGGAAUGGGAAUGACACAGCAGCAAACCAGAAAGCAAAUGGCUAACAAGGGAUAUUUGUAUGUUGCAUGGUGUUAUUUUGGCUGCUCUGUUUGUCCAAAUUGCCCAAAAAGACAGAGAGAGCACAAACAGCUAAAUGAAAGCUCCUUGAAGUUGGGGUUUUGCUAGAUCCUGAUGUGUGUGUGCACUGGGUGUGGGUGUAUUUGUGUGUGUACGUUGGGGAAGAAGGAAGAUUGUUAUUGUGGUCUCUUUCUAGACAGACAUAAACACCCCUGUUUAUUUCCAGCAUGCCAUCUAAAUUCAAAAUUAGCAUAAGCUGAUGGUGUUAAUUGAUUUAUAUGCAUGCAGGCAGUGGUUUAUCAAAGGUAGAGGGACAUAAGGUCACUCCCCUAAGGGCCUCCUGGGAACCAGUAUCCAUCUGAGAUAAUAUUGAGAUUGGCAUAGUUGGGAAUAUAACUGUGUCCAAGUAUGAAGAAACUGAGUUCUUUGUCAUUAGCAGCAAAAUAAUUUUCCUAUUAAUAUUAUAAUUCUCCUUUUAAUAAAGGCUGCUCUCAUUGAGGUCUAGGAAAGUGCCCUCCAGGUCUGCUCUGAAGUGGCCCAGGCUGCAGCUGCAAGGCUGGCUGCCUUCCCAGAGAAAGGAAAAGUCCUGUCCAAUUUGCCAUCUGAGCCAGGCUCUUGGAAUUUUGUUCCUUUCAGGUCAGUGUACCUCAGCCAUUGUGGAAAUGCCAGAACAUUUUCUCAGAGGAGGUCAGCAGCGACACAGAAACAGCAGGGACCAGCAGGGACUUCUUUAAUUUCUGAGGAAAUUUCAUUAAAAUAGUUUCCUUGAGUUGUAACAAGAGCAAAGCCAGAAAAGGGUCUUGGCUUGCAAGUGUAAACGGAGGAAAAAUACAUCCCCUCUUGCAGUGCUGGUCCUCAGAAGGGAGGAAAGGAGAGGAGACAUCCUAAAAAUGCUGUGCCUAAAAUGUCUCCCAUUGCUAUUUUUUUUCACUAUCUAUGAAAAAAAAAACCAACUUAUUUUUUUCGUGAAAAAAUUUCAACUGAAUUUUUCAUUUUUCUUUCUUUCUCUCUGUUUGUUUGUUUGUUUGUUUGCCCCUCACCUUUUCCUGGGUCGAUCUGGGGAAUUCAGACGUGAAAUCUAUCUAAAUAAAGCAUCUUCCACUUGUAAGCAAACCUCCCCUGCCUGGCAAAUUGGGAAUUUUGCCCUCUCUAGUAGGAGCUGUAGUAUCUGAUUGCUCUCUGACUAAGCAGGAGCUUGACAAGGCCAUCUUUACACUGAACAAUCCCAUAUAUCAGAGGCCACCCCUUUGAAUUCAAUGGCUUUUCUGGUGCUAAGAGAGGGUAUUAGAAACUUAGUCUGAAAUCACACCUUUCACGUAAUAGGCAGCAAUGAAUAGAAAAGAAAAGGAAAGAGGAGGCUUAUAGGAUUUCAGGAGUUUCUUUUGAAGAAGGAAUCCACCCUGCUGCUGAUGGCCAGACGCUCAUGUGGGUGUUGAGAUGUGCAAAUAAAGCAGGGUAUAAAGCUGUUAGCAAUGGUUCACAGCAACAGACCAGCUCCUGUCAAGGAGAAGCAGGUUAGGUAAACUUUUCAGGUGUUUGGAGGUGAAUCUUUUCAUUUGUGCACAGCCCUUGCUUGACCCAACUAUUUCACAUCAUUACCAAUUGCUUUGUUCGUACAUAUCAAACUUCCUCCUGGUGCUUUAUUGGUUUCUGCUCUUGCUGACCUCUUCCAGCAGUUUACUUUCUAACAUCCUGAAUGCUUCAUCAUGACUGUUCAGCACACCUCACAGAGGGCUGAGAUUAAAAGUUAAAAAAAGAGAAAGAGUGAACACAACAGGAGAGGAAACAGAAGAGCUUUUGGCAGCAGCCUGGUGACACCCUGGGGGGAGUCAAAUGGGAUGAGUAACCACCCGAAAUAAUGGCAGAGGGGAAAAAAGAGAGAAGAGACUCAAACAGCAGGGCCUGAGUGAGAGAAUUAGUAGGAACAUCAAGCUGAGAAGGCCAGGGGAGGGGAGGAAGGCAAAGUCUAUCUCUCCAUCUCAUCUCUCUGUUCCAAAGAGAGACACUAAGCCCUGUUAAAAUAGAAAAUGGGACCACUUAGUUUACAACACUGAGCACAGAUAUCUGGUACUCAGUGUCUGCUGCUCUCCUGGACUGAAAGUCUGUUUGGCUCUAUGGUAUAAAAGAAGUUCCAGGGAAAUCUGAAGUGAGGACAGAAAGGGGAGAAGGUGGGAAUUUAACAGGGGGAGAGCAGAUAGUGUCAGACCCACCUGCAGUGGCUGCAGGGCACUGGUGUAGCACAGCCGACAGCAGUAUCCUCCCUCCACAGGUGCUGCAGAGCUGCAUUUGUGUCCCCUCCCUGAGCACAAGGCUGCCGGGACACAGGGAAAGGCUGAGAGGACAUCAGCCUGGCCAGGGCUCACUCUGGCUGAGCCCAGGACCUUCUGCCUCCUCUACCCUGGCAAAUCUCAGCAGGGUUAUGUUUAGGCUGCUCAGUACUUGGUGAAGGAUAAACAUUUCAUUUAACACAGGGAGGAUGAGAUUUGGGAGCCUGGCUCCUUCUGGAUAGAGUGACAAUGGAAACAUUCAGUACUCAUGCCAGGAAACAUCAUAAGAUUUAUUUAGUGUCAAUAAAAGAAAGAAAUAUUUUGACAAAACCAGAAUAUUUUACUUGGGUUAAUUUUUUUAAUAAUUCUCUAUUAUAUGAUAGAAAAUUAAAAUGUAAAGUCAAAUAUUUUUGUGUCCCCCUCAAAAAAUUGGCAUGGGUUCUUUAGCACAGUCAGGAUCUUUCUUCUAGUUUUCUUCCAAAAAGAAGCAGUGUCAAAAUCAGUUUGAUGUUGUGAAAUGUUUCAGUGUUGAUGGAAGCACCUAACUAAUAGUCAGGGUAUGUGUGGCUAUCUCUGCUGUUAACAUUACAGAGAGCCUGACCUCCAGGUGCUCUCCAAGGCUUUCAGCUCAAUUUGCAAAACUCAGGCUUUUCUUUAGGUUUACAAUACCAUGAAGCAACAUAAAGUUCAGUGAUGAUUGGAUUAGGUUUUGACAAAUAUGAAAAAAAUUUGAGAUGUAAUGUUAAAGCAGAAGGAACUCCAGGAAAGAGCAACUGGAGGUCUAUUUUGUGAACAUACUGAAUAUGUGGCUACAGCUGCAGCAUAUUCAGACUGCAUAAAGUCUCUAACAAAAGACAUUAUGCAAACUUUGCAUUUGAAUAAGAAAAAAAAAGAAUAUCUGACCUGCAUUCUUUUCUCAUUAAGUAUAUUUUUUCUGUACACAUUCUGGUUCUUUUUUUUUUUUUAAUGCUAAUGAAGAAUUAAAUUGUUACGUCUUCAGACUAAUGACUCUCAUGAAGAUAAUUUUAACAAUUCCUUCCCAGCCUUUUCAAGUCCUGUUUCAUGCUUAGGAGGCACAGAGAGUUUAAGCUUCCAUGUCUGCCUUUGGUAUUUCUACCAAGUGCAGAUUUGUGACAUGUGCUGCCAUGUCCCAGGGUACAUAAAGCUUCACUUUGGUGUCCUUGACAUCUUUGGUCCUUUUUGUGGCUAUCUCAUAAUUCAUGCAAGUGAUGCCAUACAACUGUAAGUUUUUCAUGAGGUCAUAAAACUGAUUUAUAGAGGUUUUCCCAUAAUCUCCAAGCAAAUUAAAGAAGGUUGAUGGAGCUAUGCAACUCACUGUUGCCUCAACAAUGGUCUCAUUCAGGAAUGACACUGAACAAGAUUGAGGUAUUAAGAUAUCAAGAAUGUCCUUAAGAAGCCUUGUCUGUCUGUAAAAAAAAAAGUGAUGCCUACAAACCAAGAAGGGCUGUUUCUUCUCUACACGUAGUUGAUUUUACCCAUGACAUCUACCUGAAGAUUAGUCAGAUAGUUUCUUACUUCACUUUCUGCUUUCAAAUGGAAAACUCUGAUUAAUCUAAUGCAGGUCAGCACUUACAGAAAUAAUUUGAGGUUAAUCUCCUUUCCCUUCUGAGAUAUUUGAAGUUUUAGAUUAUCCAUUUUACAAACAGUGUUUUAUUUUGCUUUUAAGCUUUUAAAAUUAUUUUAUAAUGAGGGAAAUAUUCCAAUAAGGAAAAAGUCUAAUUCCAAAAAUUCCAAUAAAGGAAAAUAUAUUUAUAUAUACCUGUAUAUAUUUGCAUAUAUAUAUACAUAUAUAUAUUAUAUAAACCAGAUAUAUCAAAGUACAUAUUUGUGUAUCAAAAACUGUGGGGAUUUCACAUAUAUAGAUAUUAAACUAUUUAAAAUGCACAUAUAUAAAAACUAAACCCAAACCUCAAACUCUAUUUCCAAACUGUUAAAAGUGGACAUUUCAGAAUUGUGGGAACUUUAUUCUUCCGUCUUUAUUUCUGAAGCUGUUUGUGAAGCGCUUGCAUUUUGACAGAACUAUAUAGUCCAAGAAAAUGAGCUUUCACUAAACUGCCUCCAACUUCAAUAUAUGCCCUGUGUCAAACUCAGAGAGAGCUUCCAACCUCUGUGUCUGGGGCCGAGUGCCAAUUACACUGCACCCAAUGGCCUAUAACUGUCUUUUUUGCUUCUGUGAAUAUCACUUUUCUAGUUAAAAUCUUCAGGACAGCUUGCAAACUGUUUGCUACUAUUGCUCGGGAGUUAAAAGUAACCUUGAAAACAUUUCUCCAUGGUAGUAAUCGAGGUGAUUCUUCCAUCCCUUCUCAAAAAUGGCAGUAUAUCAUUCCUAUCUUUCCUCCUCAAACUCUGCCCAGCAGGCUUCUGAAGACCUUUUUAAGGUGGGUGUUAUCCUUUUUAUUUUCUUCUUAUUUGAAUAUUUCAUCUCAAACUUCUGAGGGAGAUUACUAUCUUCCAAGUGUGUGAAACCAGCCAAGAGUGUUUUAUAUGUACAUUGUAAAGCAUUUGAUGUAAUCUGUACUGUGAUUAUACAUAAAUAAGUAAAGAAAAUCUUUUUAAAAUCACCUUUGUAUUGGAAUGAGUGGGAUGAUCUCUUUACCAAAGAGAUCAUACAAACUAAGAGAGUUCUAAAGGUGAGAAAUUCUGGCCCUUUAAAGAGUAUUUGAAAUAAAACCCAGGAAGCAUAGACAUUAUAAGUAUUAGUUUUAUUACUAGAAUGAAGAAAUAAUUGUUAAAAUGAUUUCCUGAGUGAUUUAAAAAUGCUAAUAGAAGUAUUUAGCCAUAUUCUGAUCACACAGUUUUAUAAAUUGGAAGUAACUUAAUGAUAUGAGUUCAUUAAAAGGGAGAUGGCAUCAACCUUGCCAAAUUCAGGCAUCAUACAAAGAGAUGAAAGAAUUUCAAUAAAAGACAGACACAGAACUAUGGUUCAAGUCAAUACUGCCUUAUGGCCAGUGCAUUGCAACAGGCUGUAAAAGAAAGUAAUGAAAUCAUUAGAUACUGUGUCCUUGCAUUCUAUUUUCUAUUUACAUGAUAAUAAACCGAUAUUAAUAUCAUCAUCCUUGUUAUUGUUCUAGUAUUGUGAAUUCUUGUAGUUUUCUCAUUAUAUUCCUUAAAGCCUCAGAUGCUCAAAUCAGGUGAUCACCUAGUAAAUUUCCAAUUUUUUUUAUUUAAAUGUAAUAUCCUAGCUUUCCUAGUUGUGGAAAGAAGUUCAAAAGCACAUUUUGAGUGCAACUCAAAUCACUUAAUUUUAUGUAGCUACAUCAGAUGAGUCAAAGCACAAAAUUUAUAAAAUCCAGGCAGUGUGUGAAGCACAGAAGCUGCCCUAAAGGUCCCAGCAUUUAAAUGAAACUAACUCUGUUGUCACCAGUGCCAGUAAUUACAAUAAGCCUGGCAUUUCUUGUUACCCUGUGAAAUUACCUGCAAGGCCUUUUCAUAUUGUCUCCAUGCUGUUGUUUUCAUGCUCAGCAGAGCAUUAAGAGUCAAUGAUGGGCAGCUCUUGUGUUUGACUGCGAAUCGUGGGGCAUUUUGCUUUGGACUCUAUAGAAAAUCCUCAAGGUGUUUAUUGACAAAUGCUUCCUACGGGCCGCUGUAAUAGAGAAUUCUCCUCUCUGCCUGCUCCCCAGUUCCUACAAGGCCAAUCUGCUCCACAUCUAGGCAUGCUGUUGCAAAAAAUAUAUUUUUUUCAGUAGCCUCUGUAAUGUGCCUUCAAGAGGAGCUAUGGAUCAAGCGUGCUCCAGACCAAAGGCACUCAGUCCUCCAGCUCGGAGCUGUGUGCUGCCAUUUCCCCUCCAUUUGUUUCUAUGGAGCUGACUGUGUGUGCGGUCAUCCAUAAGGGUGCUGAGAUACCCUGGAGAGAGGAGGAAUAGCUGCAGCUAUUUUUCAUUAUUAUAUACUUCACUUUGUAAUAAAUGAGAUCCAUAGCAUGUGAACGCCACUCUUGUAGAUCAUCGUAUCAGCAAGCACGAGGAACCUUGUGUGCCACAAAGCUAAAUAAAAUAAAGUAAGUAAUCCCAAGAAAAAUAGGCUGGGGGGAGACCACUGAGUGUUCAGGAGUGCACAGUGCAUCCUGUCAGCCUGAGAAUGACCUCAGGACUUGCAGCAGCUAGAGAAUGGGCACUUUUAAAGCUAAAGCUGUGGUCUACAUGCUUGUCUCAUCUCAAUCUCUAUCCAUACACAGUGCAGAAAUGUACAGACUUGCACUUCCAUUGCCUUGCAGGUGUCUUUGGGACAACAGGGACCACCAAACAACUUGUGACCCAAAAAGGAAAUAGCAGCAGCAGCAGCAACUGGGCUCUUCUCCAAAGCUUGUGAUAAUGGUUUGGGCUCUGCAAUGCAACAUCUCAUCCAGGACAUGUAGAAAUCAGCAUCACAUCAUCCUCCAGUUUAUUUAAGUUGCUUCAAAGCCAGCUGCAAUGUGUACAACAGCACACUGAAACCCUCCAUGCUGCCUUCCCUGGUGAUUUUAUGUGCAACCUCUGGAUGAGACAGUUUCAUUGGAAUUGUUGUCCUCCUCCAAUGUGGCCAGAGGGAAAUGAACUGGAUGAGCAUUCUGCUGUGCCACACAGGGACCAGCCAAUGCACUCCACGUGUGUGCAGCUUAUCUGUGUGACCAAUGUAUGGCUGUUUUGGUUUCCUUCUUGAAAGCAAGAUAUUUCUUCAUGGGAGUCCUUCUGUUUCAACAAAUGCCAGCAUCAUUCCAGCCACCAGCACAAGGCAAAAACAUGCACACACAGAGCAUCCUCCUGCCCGUGGCAGCCAGGGCACCCUUCAGACAUCCCACCUCACCUGCUGACACAAUCCUUCAGCGCCCACCAAAAUCAAAUGCAGCUAAUUGGAAGGUGAUGACAGCCAGGGGAUUGCUGGAUUUGCAUGCUAAUUCCUCUAUUUUAGCAUCACACAGCCCAAGUACAGGUUCUGUGUUCAACACCUUCCUGAGAAAAACAGGAUUUCUGCAUGGAAGGAGGAUGAGUACUCAGACACACACCUGAAUUCUGCAACAUCAGUGUGUUUUUAUAGGUCCAAAGUCAGUUUCUACCCUGCAGAAAUACAUUUCCCUGAGACUCCACGUACAGGACUGGUCAGUAUAAAGCAAAUAAAUUACACUGGUGGAUGUUGGAUCGUGUGUCAUCUUGUCUGAUGUGCCUCCAGAUUUGUUGAGAAUGUCACCGUGAAUGUCCAUUGGCAAACUGGAUAAGAAAGAGUGUCACAGUGCAGGACAACCUAGAAGAUGACAGAUUCUCACAGUUCCUCUAUUAUACAGCAAUAUUAGCAAGUAUCCGCUCUGGACUGCAGCUAUGUCUGAAUUUCCAGUUCUUGAGAACUUUCCUGCAUCUUCACAAGAAAUGAAGAGAGCAUAUUUAUUAGAGCAAUCUUCUAUUAGCCCCCCUCAAAAGCCUGUGCCUGGAGCCUUGUCCAUUUUAAUACAUGCAGCAAAAAGUGCAAAGCUGAAACCUAUUCAUCUUUAUUCUCUGAACUGUGGCAAAGUUUACUAAGUGGACACAAGUUCAGGAAGGAAUCCUCCUCCUGCAGCAAACCUUCUCCCCAGAACAUCCCCAGUCCUGCAGAAGCUCACACCUGGACCCGAGCUGUCCAUCUUCCACACAUGCAUUCAUCUUCCAGAAACAUCCUUAGGCAUCCUGUGGGCUCUGCUCUGCCUUAAACCUCACAUUAGCAUCAUCGAGGGAAAAUAUAAAUUUAAACUGACACAGACUUGCUUGUCUCUUCCUUUGUGUUUAAACACAGAUGGUUGCUUUUGUUGUGCCGCCGCAUUUCAGCCAAUGCAAGCAGCAAAGUACUUAGCUGGAAUAUAUAUCUCUUUUCUUUUCCAAACAUUCACAGGGUUGGGGUUUUUUUUUGUGGUGGUUUUUUUUUUUUUUUUGGUAGGUGAAGUAUCAUUCUUCAGAAUAUAUACAAUGUUUUCAUGCAUCUUAAUCUAAUCCAUUAGUCCUUGUAAUUUAUUGUUAACUGCUUGGAUGUAGGGGCCAUGACAGCUUUGAGUAAAGCAUUUAAGCAGGCAUCUGUUUUGUAUAAAUUAUAAGAACCUUGGUCACACAAGGUUUCAGACAGAGACAAAGGUCUUUUACCAGCAUCUGUAGCCCUGGGGAGAGUAAUUUUUUUAGUCUUUCUUUUUUACUGUAAGAAGCUUUGGAUCUUGGAAACAGUAAAACUAUCUGCAGACUUGCAUUUACUUUUGUAUUUGGUAUUGUUAACAGCUCCAAGGCACGAGUAACAUGAUUGGCAUGGGGUUUGGGAGCUGGAAAACACUUUGUUAGUUUCAAAUCAGUUCCUUGGAGGCUAAAGCCCUGAUUAACUAUAAGUGGAGUGGAUUUUUUUAAUCUGACUGCUGCAGUAUUUUAUGUCUGGUCAUUUAGGCUUAUUUCUGUAAAUACUUCAAUAAGCCUGAAUCAAUUCCUUCAGUGUGUCCCUUUGUCUCCUGCCAUCAGACAUAGUAUGGUGUCAUGACAUAAGUAAGCAGAAUAGCAGGAUCAAGGAAAAGAUACCUUGUGCCACUGAGCAAGGAACUUAUUUGUGAAGAGGAAAGCAAAAACAAAUUCUUAAUAUUAUCCUAAUAUAUCCAAAAGCCCUUUCUCUCCUCUUUUGAUUUCCCUUCUGGUUUUUGCCUGGCUAUGAGAUGUCUGAAAGGAUAGCAAGAUUUUGCUGGGGAUACACAGAUGACUAAAGGUCUGCUGUACAAAUACUCUUGUUGCCUUCUCACCUGUGCUGCUUAGAUUAAUUUGGCUCUGUCCUGAAGGUUUCUGCAUUGCACAUUUCCUAACUAAACAAGAAGUCUGCUGGAGUAAACUAACUGAAGCAGAGUACUCUGCAUCUCACUUUGGCACCAUCAUUCCAUGCCACAGACACACGGUUCAGAGUUAAUAAGAGUGCCAUGUAAGGGAUGCCACUCACCCAGGUGAAAUGCAAUGCAGUGGGGGACAAGCCUGGUGAGUGGUUUUCCUCCUCAAAAGUAGCUUGGAGAUGUGGCUUCACUCUCCUUAGUACCUCUGGCUGCACAAAGGCAGAGCUGUGAAGGUGAUGGGAUCACAGCAAAUCUACCCGAGUGCAGAGCUUUGGUUUAAUUUUUUUUUUUAUAUCAAUGGCUGGUCUCAGCUCUAAUUAACCUACUCCCCUAUCAGUCCAUUCCCUCCCCACAUGCUGUCUUUUCCCCUUCCUCCCUGUGAUCUCCAUUUCACUGCAGAGAUGGCCUGGCAAAGAGACAUUAUUCUAUUUAGAAGCUGAGCACCUCACUAGGGGUGACAGGCCUGUUUUUAGGUCAUUUAUCUAAUUGCUCUUUGCAGAUAAGAAUUAAUUAGCCCGAUUAUUUUUCUUAGUUUUUGGAUGGGUUCCCCACCUGGAGAGAAGAAAUUCCUCCAUGUCAGUGAUUAAUUGCUGAGCCAGAAGCUUUCUGCCUUGCAUUUGUAAUAAAUGCCGACUAGUUCUUUAGGUCGCAUUAGGAACCAGGCAGAUUGUGGUUAAAAUGCACGGGAUAAUAAAGCAUUUCUACAAACAAGAUCACUGCCAUUAGAUUUUGAUUAAAUAUUUUAAUUUAUCUGGAGGUUGAGGGACUGCGGGAAUCAAAAGGUUUAAGGUCUCCUAUUCCCAGCACUUUCUGAUGAGAGUUGCCCUAUAGCCCUUUGAUCUAAACCAGAUGAACCUCAUGGCAAUGCUUCAGCUCAGGAUUUGGCACAGCUGGUUUGUCUCAUACUGGUCUGAAUGCUCCUAGGGCCGUGAGUGCUCAGCCAGCUCAACUCGCUUGUGAUAACAUUUUGUGAACUACAGGAGUCUGAUCGAGCUGAGGGAGGAAAGGUUAAGAUUUGUGUGUGAAAUUAUGGCAGGCUUAUAUCCAGCUGUGUUUAACACAGUAGAAAUUAUUUCAUUUCCCCUUUUCCUUCCCCCUUUUUCCCCCUUCACCUUCUCCUUCCCUUUUUCCUUUCCCCUUCCCUUCCUCCUCCAUUUCCCUUUUCUUUUUUGUUUCCAUCCCCCUUUUUCACCUUUUUAUUUCCAUAAGAAUUCUGAGCAUUAAGCCCAAAGAAAAAUCUAUUUUUUCUGCAGGGCCAACUAAAGAAAAACAGUGGCCUCGAUUCACAAGCUGGUCAGCCUAGGACAGGUCUCUUUUCCAGGAUUAUAGAGCAAGCCAGACAGUAUGAUCUCCUGUGCCCUUAAAACCUGAUUUCUGACCUAGAAAGUUCAUGGAAGAAAAUUGGAGUCUUGCCAUCUAUUUUGUCGUGCUUGUGAACUGUUUGAAGCCCCUGAUGUCCCAAUAGGAGAAAUUAAUUGCUGGUGUUAGAGCAGCUUCUCUGAUCACAAAAGACGUGGAACUGCCUAUGCUGUGGUGAUGGUUGCUGCCUCGGAGAGAGGAGGGUUGGGAAGGCACAGGGAUGAGAUCCUGGGUCUGAGUCCCUCUGUCUCACAGCUGAGAGGUGUUAGGAGGGCAGUAUCAGGGCACCAAAUACCUUGGCUGUGUUUGUUGUCCGGGAAAAAAAAAGUAAAUCUUCCUCUUGCAAAACAUUUACAUUGGAGAGAAGUAAAUUAGGGCCCCUGUGUGGAUUUUGUUAGUGGGCAGUUAUUUUUCUGGGGAUUUUGUUUGUUUGUUUUUUAAUGGAAAGGGGAAAAAAAAUGAGAAAACCUGAAAACGACAAUUUUUUCUCCUGACAAGUGGGCUGAAGACAGACGAGGAGAACUGAUAUUUCUCUAAUGUAUAGGAACAAUAUUGCAUUGUGAAAAGUAACUUUCCAUGGAACUUCGUUCGAUUCUUACUCAACCAUAGUAUUUUGAGAAUACCAUUCCCAGCUGUGAUUUAAAGACAGAAAAAUCUAGUGUUACACUGAUGGUUAGUCAAAAAUCAAUGCCUAAAAAUUGCUCCUAACUUCAACUUUGUGCUAUGGGACUACGAGAGUUAUUUUGGCUUUGAGUAUUGAGUAAAGCUCAUGUGUAUCAGAGAUAGUUGAUAUUUUUCACUACCUACAAAACUAUCAAAAUUAUUUUAUCUUUUGGUAAAUUGAAGUUUUAUUCUGGUCACCAUUGCUGCCUGUAUUUCAUAACUAGACAGAAAUACACAUGCAAGACAGAGCACCUAUUUUUUUUCCUUACCAGAUACCCAAGCAGAGUCAGAUACUUGAAUUCAGUGGGAGUCGAGGUGCUAAAUGCUAUUUUUGAUCUUAGCAAUUGGACCCUAUUUUAACUAAUACAUUACAUAAUAAUUUGGGAAUAAAAACAACAUCUCCCCAUGUCACUGGGAAAAUACAUUCCAACCCAGUUUUCGGAUGUAGAAAUGGAGUCCCUGUGAGUCUGAGAUUUUUCCUUAAUGCCACAAAAUGUGUCACUGGAAAAACUUCACACAAAACCUUAGCAAUAUCUGCUCUUGUUCUAAGCCCACACCAAACCAUUUAAUUUAAGUAAGAUUUACCUCCCCCACCUGCAAUGCCAUUUCUGGCACUGUACAUGAGGAAAUUUAACAAUAUCGAGUGGCCUGAGUUAUGAUAAUGAAAGAUGGUUGCUAAGAAAAAGCAUGAUGAUAGCCAAGAAAUUAAUAUUACAGAGAUGAAAAUCUUCUUAUAGACCCAAAAUAAUAGAUGUUCUGUAUCAAUAUAUGACUAAUCAGCACUCAAGGAUUUAUCUUUCAAAUUACAGAACGUGGUGGAGACAUUUAAUGCAAUAUGGUCUCCCUUCAGAGAGAUACAGUAUGUGACUAAAUAUCUCCAGUGAGUAAUAUUCACACUUACUCAAGUACUGUAAAUAUAUCCCUGAUAAAUCUGGAGAGCAAAUUCUUGUAAAUUCUUGUUUAACACUGCAAGGAAGCUUAAUAACUUUCCAAUCUAUCAACAUGUUUUAAUUUCCUACUGUGCAGUUUCUAACUGAAACAAGGCAUUUAACAGAAGAGAUUCGAAACUAAUGGAUAAUGGACUGUCAUGUUCUAAAAAACCUUGGUACCAAAUGUGACACUGAAUUGUGUGGGUUUGGGCAGGACAUUUCCAAAUGGGAACGUUUCAUUGCUGCUAUGCCUAAUUAUGCAUGCAUUUUAAUGUAAAAUUAAAUGCAUGUGCAAUGUGCAGAUUAAAAUAAGAAAAAAAUCCUCUCUACUAAUAAGUGGGAAUGGCUAAGAACCUGAUGGAGGGUUGCAGCCAGGUGGCUACAUCAGCCAGUGACACGUGUACCUACAUGUGCUUCCCGAGGUCCAGGCUAGCAGAACACCCAGUAAAAAUCAUGCCACACUUAACAAAACCAACCUAUUUUUAAGUGGGAUUUAAUAACGUUAACCUACAUGUAUUUUACAGGUUUUGGAGGGGUGCAGACUGGAUGAUUAGUAAACCCAGUUUAUGUAAUGUUUCAAGCCCCUAGUUUUGGCUUUUUUUGCCCCUCUUAAUUUUAAGCAGGUACCUCAAAAAAUUAAGUCCAACAAAAUUAUUGAGAUACACAGCCAUCAGGCUGGGCUUUUUUGGGGGGGUAGAAGAAUCAGUCUAAUUUCUGUAUCCUCUUUUCUGAAAAAGCAGACCCUGAACUCAGGGUGGAUGGCUGUUACAAUAGUGUGCCCAUAAGUUCAUGUUGGUCAGAGGUGAGCCAGGGAAUUUUUGUUGUCUUGGGCUUGAAGGGAAGCACGUUUCAGAGUGAACAUGCAUUCUCUGGGACAUCAUCAGGAUAGGGUUCAUCUCCCUUAAAGCAUAUUUCUACACCUCUGCCAUGAAAGCAGAAGAAUUUCCAGUCAGACCCUUGAAAUUACUGGGCCAUGGGCCUUGUGACGCUGUGAGGAGCAGUAAGGAAAUCAGCACUGCUCUGUGGAACCUGGUGCUGGCAGCCACACCACCCAAAAUCUGAGCUGUCUGGUAGCUUCAGGUAUUGCUCCAGGGAGAAAAUUCAGAAGUAAUCAGAGCUGUGAUAGAGAGAUACCUGAAUCAUAACUGCUACUUUUGAGUGUUACAUGGAUCAGUCUUUACCAAUAAGCUGAAAUUACCUCAGACUUUUUAUUUAUAGGUUGUAAUUGUCUUUAACGAAGUAAAAUUUUUUUCCCCAAACAUUGGGACAUUUUCUAGGCAGAGAUUUGCUAUGGACCUUUACAUGAGCAAAUGCAGCAAUACCUGUAUACUGGUUUAUAAAAUGUGCAAGGUUUUUUUAAAAAAAUAUAAAUUAUUCAGUUAUUAUGAUGCUGAUGCUGCUGCUACUGUGUAUAUAAACGUUUCCAGUCCCAGAAUGGGCAUAAAAUACUUACUCUGAAUAGCAAACAUGAAAGAAAACAACUGAGCUGAGAAUUAAUGAUUCACUAUUUCCUUUUUUUUUUUUCCAGCUCUGGGGGUCUCUACAAAAGAAACAGCUUCCUACAAGUGAUAAUGUUAAAUCUUCUUGUUCUUCCUACUUGCCUUUUUCCUCUCUGGGGUCUUUAAAAAACUUACUUCAAGCAUUUGAAAAACUUCCCUAAUUUUUCCUAUAGUCCUCCAAACCAAGCUUCCAUGGCUAGUGGAAGAUGUUUUAAUCUCCUGCUAUGUGACAGAACUAUCCAGUAUUCUCUGUAAAAUUGAUCAUAUGUGAUUUUUCUUCUCUCUUUUUUAAAUUUUCUGCCCAAAAAUAUUAUACGGGGAAAUAAACACAGAAAACCAAGUACUCAAAGCAUUACCAGAGACCUGCAAUAGGCCAAGGAACGAAAUUAUUAUUUUCUGACCCCCUCAAGCCACCUUUUGCCUAACACAGUGCAAAGAAACAAGGAGUACAGAAAAGUACCUCUUUUUUGUCUGUUAUUCAUGUGAUGAGGAACAUGAAAACAAUUCACAGUAGUCUUUUAAAUGUGAAUAUUAUCAAUAUCAGCACUUCCAUUUGAAUAAUACAUUCCCAGACAUCUCUUGUUAUGAUUCACAACUGUCUGGUGUGAUCGAGCCUCUGGUAACUCUCUCAAAAGUUCUUGAGACUUGUAUUUAUUUCCAUCAUUUCAGGACACUCUUUGUAAAGAUGAAUAUCUUUUAAUACCUCUUGCCUGGGUGCAAGGGGUGACCCUGAUUUUUGCAAAACCUCAUUUUGCAAAACACACGCUGAGUAUAUUAAGGCCCUGAUGAGAUAGAGCGCUGGCUAGAGAAACCUUCAAACAUUACUUUUUUUCUCCUCCAUAAAGUGGAAAACUCUAAAUGAUAUUGUUGAUUAGAUACAGCAUAUUGGUAAAGGUCUUGCUAGUUCUCCUGAGUGUGUCUGCUUGACUUCUAAAUUCACAGCACUAAAAUGUUUUCAUUCCCUUUCCCUUCACUCCCCACUUAAUCCUUAAGCAUUUUCACCUUAAUCCAGAAGUUUUCAAAUGCCCUGACAAACCAGCUAAAUGUAAAGAAAUAGCUGCUUCUCUUAGCUUUUUUUCCUGUCAAUCAUUUAAAACCCAGUGUAAUGUGUGAUGAGGAUGACUCAGUUUGUAGAAAAGCAGCAACUUAGCAGUUGGCUAAUGUUUUGUGAGCUGCUCAGCUUAAGCAGAUGGAAUACUUGUAUUUCAUAUCUCAGCCCCAUCCCUGAUUACGGUUUUUUAGCAGUCCCAGGUACUAACUACCUCAGCAUCAGAAGAGAUUGGUGGCAGGCUGGUGUUCACAGCUUACUUGUGAUUCUGGAAGGUUUUCUUAUUAUAUGCAAUAGUUCUGUCAGACAGGUGUGGGAGGGAUGCAUUUGUGCUUUGGGGAAUAGCAGGUAAAUUUAUGCAGCUUUAAAGGACUGGCAGAUUUAGCUGCCUACAUAUGAUUUAAGGGCUGGAUCCCAAACCCAUUAAAAUUAAUGGGAGUUUUUCAUUGACUUAGUUGGCUUUGGAUUAGCUCCUAAGUGAAUUUCCAGUAGAAGGUAAAAUCCCAGCCAAAAAAGCUGCUGAUUUCUUGGCACCCUUGUCUCCUUUUAGUGAGCAGUGGCAGAGCUAAAACUUCCAGAGCUGCCCAGUGGAGUUAUUCUGACAAACUCAACCUUUACUUGCAGAGAAUUUUAUCCCUUACCUGGUACUCCCAGAAUAUUUGAAUAAAAACAUUGAAAAAAUAGUAAUGUAGACUUUAUGUAAAUAAGUUUGCCUCUCUUGCCUUAGAAUAGAGAAUUGCUGCACCAUGUUGGACCUAAGAGUUGUAUAGACCUGUAUGCUCUCUGGAUUUAGAUAUAAGCAGAUAUCCUGGGAACAAUGCAAGCAUAUUUUUCUAAACUUCUGUGCUGUUUUUCAGAAAAAAAUCCCCAUGGCCCAGAAACUCCUUAAACAAAAGCUCUCUAUGCAUUGAAUAGCUCUCAAUGUGUUUUUCUUCCAUUAAUUUCCCCAUAGAUUGUUUUUGAAGUUAUACAACCACCCCUAAAUAUUUUUGCAAGGAAUUUGCAAGUUGCCUUUGUGCUACAAAGACAGAAGUCUUGUUCCUUUUGAAUAUACCCCGUGCUAGUUUCCUUUGAUGACUUUUAAAUCUUGCAUUACUAGAGACAGUGAACAUUCAUUAUCUAUUUGCCAUUUCCAGGCCAGUCAGUAUGUUAAAGACCUAUCUCUGACCUCCUUAUCCCUCUUCUAGGUUGUUCUUUUACAAGAUAAAAAGUCUUGAUCUAUUUAGCGUAACUUAGAAACUAUACUGUAACUUUUCCUAACCUCAAAUAAUUCAGGACCUGCAAUUAAAUUUUGUGGUCAGCUUGGAUUCAAUCACUAUGUUCAGCUUACUGGGCACAAUGAUAUUUGUUCUGACUUUUUUUUAAAUACCAAAAUUAGUCUGACUCCAGCUCCCUCAUGAGAUAUUGCAGGGGGAGAUAGGCGUGGGCAGGGGAUCUGUAUUUGGAGGAUUCCUGACAUUGCAUUAGUUAAUAAUGAGGGACAUAUUAGUAUUCUUAAAGUUCCUAUCGUCUCUAUGCUUCAUACAGAGCUGUAAAAUAAAACAGCCAUAGCCAUUAAUAUGCUAAUGUUAUAUGCUAUGACCAUGUUGCUGUCUCUCUUGAGUAUCUCCCCAGUCUUCCUAUCUCUUUCCACAUCAUAUUAACACUCCCUGGGUGAAAUCCUGACCCUGUUGAAGUCAAUGGCAAAACUCCCAUUGACUUCACUAGAGGCAGGAUUAUCUCCUCUGAGGAGCUUUAUGGCUUCACUCCUGACUGCUUUGCUGUUUUCACAUCCUACUGUAUCCCCUAUUUGCUCUCCCUCUUUUCUGAUAAAUGCUCACCCUCUUGCUAUCAUUUAUUUUGGUCUUGCACUCCUGGUUCUGCACCUUUUUGAAAUGAGUCUGCCAGCGUGGAAAAGUCUUCCUCUGCUCUGCCUGCCCAUUGACUCCCUCCUCCUGCUAUCAGAUCCUGCUAAAAUUUUGUAUGCUAAUCUUUCCCUGCUAGCCACUGCAUUCUCCUCUCCUUUCCCUGCAUCCCAUCACGAUAUAGUAUAUACUAACACUAAGAAUAGGUGAAAAUUGCCUGUCUGCCUCCUCAGAUGACUUCAGACAAGGUUUUCAUAUGCAAGACAUCUAUAGCAAGGGAAAUGCUUCCCAGGCAUUUUUUCCUCUCGUUUUUCCACCUUGUAUUCAGUGCUUGCUUUAGAUAGACCUGUAAUAUUAAUUCCUUGCUGUCCAGCCUUAUAUUUUUAAUUUAAUUUUAUUACAGUUAUGCACAGUUAUAGAAAAAAUAAAUUACCCUAAAAUUAGCAUGCUGAAUAGGCUAAAGGAGUAUUUAGAAAUGAGCAGAGAACAAUGCUCUCUAGAUAAUUUAUCAUGCAGGCAAGAAGAAAGAGUUGCCUGACUAAGGACUUCAGACUCUCCAUGAAUAUAUAGUGUAAUCAGUAAAGAGUUUGCAUGAUCAAGUACUAACCAGAAAAAAUUUGAAAUACAAAGUUCAUUUAAAUCAAUAGAAAGCCUCCCAUUGUCUUGGCUAAAGGCCUAAAGAAGGAUUUCAGGAUUUGACCCAUUGCAUCAGAUUGCAAAGAAACCUUGUAAUGCAUUGUGGGGUUUUUUAUUUUAUUUUUAUAUAAGUACAUAGGCUGAGCAGCUUUAUACUGUUGACUUUGUAUAGUUAUAAGCCUAAGCUGAAAGAUCCGAGAAACUAUUAAUACCCUCCAGAGAAAUAUCAUCUUGCAAUAGUGAGUAUGGAUCCCUCUUGUUGACCUAGUUUAUAUCUACAGAAUCAACCUACACAAUUCCUUUCACCAGCUGCUCUGUGGCUUAGGGAGAUGGGGUGUUAAUUAAUGAGACAUUUGUUGAAAUUUAUAAGGGCUUUUCCUAUCCAGGUUAGACAUAAAUUAUGAAGGCUCUGGCAAAGUGGGCAGAAUAUUGUUGACUGUAACUGUUCUGCUUAUUUUAGCCAGUACUAGAGAAAAUAGGUCUUCAAAGAACAAUUUAUGUGCAGGAGCAAGCUUGAUGAGAAAAAGAGAAGAACAUUUUAAAGAAAAAAAAAGUCGCAGUAUGAAAUGAUUUGUUUUUCUUAUUCACUGUAUGAUUACUUUUUGAAAUUUCUAUUUUCAGUACAGCCUUUUAGUCCCUGAUUUGUUAGGAAAAAAUAAUCAUAUGGUGAUGAAACUGUGAUCUGUUUGAAAUGCAUAUGAUGUCAUACAAAAUUCACUAUUAUCUCCUACUUGGAUUUUAGAGAUAAAUAUAUUGGAAUUGCACACACAGAGAAAAAAUUAGAUAGAUUUUCUUUGAUUAUGUGUAGUCUCCAUUUUAAUGUUAAUUUCUAACAAAUAUUCUAGCUUGGGAAUUUAACAGCAGACGUGUUGGUAGAAAUAGAUUCUUUCAAGUGAGUGUUAGAAUACAGUGGUUUUCUUAAUAAUGAAAAGCAAAUUUCCAUUUCUGAAUCAUAAGCAUUGUCAUCGUCAAGCUAAUUCAAAGCCUGACAUUUUAUCAGUCAGGAAAAGAAACAUGUUACAUGCAUUUAAUUAAUAUCUCCCUCUGAGGGUUCGAACACGCGCAGGAGUCUAUAAUAGUUGUUCAUUUAGGAGCCUUUCAGUUCAAGCAGUAGAUCCAGAUCUGGAGGUCCCUGUUCCCAUUCACCCUCAACCCUUUUCAUUUCUUAUGACAUGUGCAAGAUUAUGUGCCAAUGGAGCAGACAUUUUGCAAUAAAAUGUAUUUUCAUCAGAAAAUGCUGAUUCACUAAAAGCAGAAUGUUACAUGGAAACAUAUUGCUUUUGAUAUGCUUCUGAGAAAAUACAAGUGGGGUCUGCUGAUUGUUUCUGUUUUUUCCAUUGAGGUUGCUUUUUUCCUUUUGAAGAAAAUUUUAUUUUGAAGAAAAUUUUAUUUCAUUUUGAAACUAUAAAAAUAAAAAUCCAUCCACUUUUUAUUUUACUUUCUUCCUGGUUUUUCUCCAGAAUUUCUUGCAAAAUCACAUCUUUUUGGUUCAAAACAGUUUUGUUCAUGAGCACCAAGCACAGUAAACCCACAAAGCAUUCUCAAUAUAAGAACCCAAAUUGAGUCACCAGAUAAUUCUAAAAGCUAAGAACUGCUACAAACUGAAAGAAAAGAGCUGAAUCCAUCAAACAAAUAUCUUUCUGAAUUACCACUAUGGCAAAUUCCGGCAGGAGCAGCUUUCUUUCAUGGUUACUUAACCGUUAGGGAAAAAAACCCACAGUCUAUGUCCUGAAGAUAAUGGUUCAGCCUCAGAAGACAUUUCAUGAGCUACUGCAAAUCUUAUUUUCCUGAGGGUUAUCAAAGGCUCAGAAACCAAAAAGACCUGGUGCUCAAAUUGUUUAGAUCAUCCUUUUCUCUUCUCCCUGUGACUGUGCUUGCCCAGGAGCCAUGUGAGCUCCUUGCUAGUUGUGAUCUGUGGGGCAAUCAAAGAAGCCAUUUCAUGUUCCUCCUCAGUCACUGGGCCUCCUGAUCUCUUAUCAAUUACCUGUCAAAAGAGGUGGGUGUUCUUCUUCAUUAACACAUUGCAGUGUGGUAAUUAACAACCAGAUAGCACAGGGCUUAGAAAGUGGCCUCUCUUGACCACUUGUUCAAUAAAUAUUGACAUAAGUACCAGUAAAAGUAUGUCAUAUGGGUCUUUGCUAAAAACAACAAGCAAGAAAAGAGUAGGAAAGCAAACAAAAUGUAUCAUAACUUGUUUUUUGAAGAAACCUCCACCAGGUUUUAGCAGCAAAUGGGAGCAAUUUGGGCAUUAUUCAAGCCCAAGUUGCCUUGUUUUUUGUUUCUCUCCUGACUGAAGAUGUGCCCCCCUCCCCCUGCUUUUUGGGUGGGGGGCAGAAAGGGGAGGUUACCUUCCCGUUGAAAUAAACCAGCAAGAACUUUGUCAAGGAAUGAACUCUUACUGUAACCCACACCUCAUUUGUCACCCUGAUGGGCUGAGGAAAAGUGACAUUUACAAACUGAGAAUGAAAGUACAUCCAUUUCACCAGUCUGACACCCUGAUAUAAUAACUAUUUACCUUGAGAAAGAGGGACUGAGAUUUCCGAUUCUUGUGAAUCUUCUCACUUUGGCACUUAUUUUCUCACUCUGUCAAACAGCCCCAGAUUAAUGGAACAAUUUGUUCAACAAAUCAUAUUAGCAGAAAGCGCACAGGGUAAAGAGAAGGAGGCGGGGGAGCAGGAAAUUUUUACUCAUUCAUAGCAGUGGUAUCUCUGCAAAUAAAAAUGUAGUUAUGCCUGACAUUUACAGAGGUACAAUGUGAAAGGGAAAAAGUGUAAUGACUUUGGGCAGUUGAGAGAUCACUUUGCAAGAACAGUAGUGCUCAAAAGGGAAUAAGAUAAAGUUACACAUAACAUCUAGAUUGAGCUUCUUUCUGGAACAUAUUUGUCAAACACAGCAGGAUCCGUCUGUGUUUAAAAAAGAGUUUUCCAUUAAAAUUAAGCACCGUGUGCUUUCCUAACUAUAAAGAAAUGCUGCCUUACAGUCUGCAUUUCAGAAAUGUUAGGUAAAGAAUUAAAGUCAGUUGGAGCCAUAGAGUGAAUGCUAUGAAUCCUUCUCGAUGGAUUGAUAAUGUCUAAGGGACUGAUAUAAACCCUACCUAAGCCACCAGAAGAUUUUCCAUUGUCUUCACAGGACAAAUUGGGCACAGAACAAUCAGAAACCCAACUAUUCUUCUGCAUUUACUCCUGGUUUACACUUCAUAGCCAGACAAACAAGGUUCCUUCUAUUUCCCUAUACACAGAUAGCUCCUACCAUGGAGUCAAGACAAUGGAAGAAUGCAACAACAGUUUUUCCAGCUUUACAGGGGCCCAGGUAUAAGUAUAAUCAAUUCUAGAAAAUUAUCAUUGGGUAAAUGUUUUGGUUAGGAAUUGCAAAUGCGUUAAGACCGUAUUGAUGAGUAAUUCACUGGGCAGCAAACCAUACUUUUUCCUCUCAGCUCUUUAACCCAGAGCUCCUUGCAAAACUGUGUCGGUAUUUAUAGCAUAUACAGAGUGGAUUAUCUUUAAAAAGUGUUUCUUUUUAAGUCUGAGCAGCCUGUUUCUGCUAGCCAUGAAAAUAUACAGAGCAAUGCAGCAUCAUCCCCCUGCAUGCACACUCACACACUUAUAAACACAUUUUAAGAGGAUACUCUAAGUUUUCCAUCACAUUAAUUUAUUUCUGUUAGCUUGGUACAGCAGCACUGUACCCUAUUCUCCAAUGAAAAUUGACGCUCCCUUGUUCCACGUUUCUUUAUGCCAUGACCUUGGGUGUCAAGAGAAAAUAUUGCUUUGCAUCCUUGUGUUGCUUGAGUCCUGCUUCUCUCUUUAUAGCUUAUUACUUGGCACACUUCAGAGCCUAUGUACUGCAAUGAGAUAUGCACUGUACAGCAGGUAACGUUUGGAAUACUUCAGGCUACAGAGAUAAGGAGAACUGACUCUGUUGUGCACAUAAUAUUGUGCCCCAAAUUCAGGAAUUUAAAUGAAUGGUUCAAAGGUUUAUGGUGGCAAAUUGUUAGUUUCUUAAUAAAAGGAAAUCAGCCUUCUACAUGACUGAAAAAAAAAAAAAGCUGAACACACAAAAUCAUUACUUAUUAAUUCAACUGGGUUUUACCCAUGACAGUGAA